rnacentral:rRNA from 1 species
AGGGAAUCUUCCGCAAUGGACGAAAGUCUGACGGAGCAACGCCGCGUGAACGAUGAAGGUUUUCGGAUCGUAAAGUUCUGUUGUUAGGGAAGAACCACCCGGAUGACCUCCCGGUCUGACGGUACCUAACGAGAAAGCCCCGGCUAACUACGUGCCAGCAGCCGCGGUAAUACGUAGGGGGCAAGCGUUGUCCGGAAUUAUUGGGCGUAAGCGCGCGCAGGCGGCUUCUUAAGUCAGGGGUGAAAGCCCACGGCUCAACCGUGGAGGGCCAUCUGAAACUGGGAAGCUUGAGUGCAGGAGAGGAGAGCGGAAUUCCACGUGUAGCGGUGAAAUGCGUAGAGAUGUGGAGGAACACCCGUGGCGAAGGCGGCUCUCUGGCCUGUAACUGACGCUGAGGCGCGAAAGCGUGGGGAGCGAAC